CCUACGGGAGGCAGCAGUGGGGAAUAUUGGACAAUGGGGGAAACCCUGAUCCAGCAAUGCCGCGUGAGUGAAGAAGGCCUUAGGGUUGUAAAGCUCUUUCGGCGGGGAAGAUGGUGACGGUACCCGCAGAAGAAGCCCCGGCUAACUUCGUGCCAGCAGCCGCGGUAAU
rnacentral:rRNA from 1 species